GAACGCGAAGAACCUUACCCGGGCUUGAAUUGCAGUCGCUGCCCACAGAGACGUGGGCUUCCCUUCGGGGCGUCUGUGAAGGUGCUGCAUGGUUGUCGUCAGCUCGUGCCGUGAGGUGUCGGCUUAAGUGCCAUAACGAGCGCAACCCCCUUUCCCAGUUGCCAUCGGGUGAUGCCGGGCACUCUGGGGACACUGCCACCGCAAGGUGCGAGGAAGGUGGGGAUGACGUCAAAUCAGCACGGCCCUUACGUCCGGGGCUACACACGUGUUACAAUGGCCGGUACAGAGGGACGGUGCAAUGCAAGUUGCAUCCAAUCUUGAAAUCCGGUCCCAGUUCGGACUGGGGUCUGCAACCCGACCCCACGAAGCUGGAUUCGCUAGUAAUCGCGCAUCAGCCAUGGCGCGGUGAAUACGUUCCCGGGUCUUGUACACACC
rnacentral:rRNA from 1 species